rfam:Sarcophilus harrisii ctg7180002269587, whole genome shotgun sequence.
CAAAAAGACAUCAUUGAGAUCAGCUCUUAGAUAGCUAUUGUCUUUUUUUUAAGAAACCAAAAAGACAGUAGCUAUCUAAGAGCUGGUCUCAAUGAUGUCUUUU